rnacentral:rRNA from 1 species
UACAGAGGUGGCAAGCGUUGUUCGGAAUUACUGGGCGUAAAGGGCGCGUAGGCGGCCAUCUAAGUCAGACGUGAAAUCCCCCGGCUUAACCUGGGAACUGCGUCUGAUACUGGACGGCUUGAGUAUGGGAGAGGGAUGUAGAAUUCCAGGUGUAGCGGUGAGAUGCGUAGAUAUCUGGAGGAAUACCGGUGGCGAAGGCGGCAUCCUGGACCAUUACUGACGCUGAGGCGCGAAAGCUAGGGGAGCAAACGGG